UUGAUCAAAAUAAAUAUGCAAAUUGUCAGUGUCAAUAUCAUAUUUUGAUAAAGACUUGAAGAAAAGUCGAAAUGUCAAUUUACUUCUAUAAUUUAAAAAUUAUUAAACAAAAACUAAUUUUGAAACAGAAGAGACCUAAAAUCAAUUUUUUUUAAAUCUCUAAAAGAUAGAUAAUACAUGACGUUUCGACACGUAGAAAAAGUGUCGCAUCUCUGCAUUGUUUUUCCGGUUACAAUACAAAAUCUGGAUGUGCCGGAAAAGGGAAGAAAAAUAUCUUAAAUUCAUUAUUAGACGCUAAACAUUUGUCAAAUUUAGCUAAUUUUUUUUAUAAGAAAUAUGCAAGUAAAGAAGAUACAAAACUAUGUAUUACAGUUCAUCAAAUCUAUUUAUAGAUGUAAAAAUGAAAAAAUAACACUGAAUUAAGAUUUCACAAAUAUCAAUGUUGGCAAACCUCACACACACACGGCAUAUUAUCAGCAUCUGAUAACAACAGAUUGGGGCUGGAAACAACAUCAACGUCGCAUUAUCCCCGAAUUUACAGAAUAGGAAUUAAUUCUGAAAGUAUUGCUUAAAACUAUUUGCUGCAGCUGUGAAACUGGUUGCAACAGUUUAAAACGUGGCUGCCAAAAACAUUGUUCAAAAUGCUCAAAUUUAUGACCAAACUGGCAUGGUACUGAAAAUUGCUCCAAUAUGGAAAAAUAAACCUACGAGGAAGUUAAUGGUUCAGAUAAAAUUGUGGAUAAAAAACCAAUGGAAAAUGAAAAUAAUAUUGUAGACGAAGAAGGUGAUGGUCUUGAAGAUUUCGAAAAUCAACUAGAAUUGGAAAGGAUUGUCGAAUCUUACGAUGAGGAAAUACCAUCAAGGAGACAAAAACUAAUGGAUGAUUAAUUAGACUUCAAAAUAAGGUAUUUAUAAAUAACAAGAAUCGCGUUAUAAAAAAUAUUAUAACUAAUAACGUAAUCAGAAUGAGGAAUCUAAAUUCAAUAGUACGAUUUACAUGUACAUUAUUAGAAUUAAACAAAUAAACUUUUUAACUUUAAAAUUUACAACAAUCAAUGUUUUUUGAUGAAAUUGUACAUAUUGAUUAAAAAAAUUCACAAAUUUGCGUUUUUUUAGAUUUUUUGUAUUUUCUGAGAAUAUUUACACUAAUAAUGUGUAUAUUGUUUUAAACAAUCAGAAAUGAGAAAUUUGCACGAGGCACAUCAACUUUUUAAAAAUAUUUUGACCCGAGAAUUUUCGAUUGAAAAUUAGGGUGCUUUUUUGAUAUUAAAUAAGUGAGAUGAAAAAAUAAAUAUUUUAAAUCAAAUAAAGUACAGUGUAGUUGGGACAUAAAAAGGUAAGUUCUCACAAAAUUUUGUAGAACACAAUUUAUUUUAAAGGAUAAAAAUAAAAAACCAACAACUUGGUUAUUCGAAUUUUUCACAUAAAUUUUGAGGUUAUGUGAAAAAUUGUGAAUACAAGAUGUAGAUCGUUUUAUUACCUACAACUUUGCCAGUUAACUUUAUUGCAUAGGACUUGUAGUUUUGCUGGAAUUCAAGAUAAACUAUUUUUUACCCUUAAAACACACCUCCUCCCACUUCUCGAACUCAGGUCGCCCGUAAUUCAUUUUUAUGAAAUUUCCCUCCGUUUUCAAUAGGUUUCAUACUUCUUUUAUUUUUUUUUUGGUUUCAAAAAUUAUCGACUCUGGUCUAUUUCAUUAAUGUCCUAAUAUGACAUUAUGUUCCUGUUAGGACAUAUUAUCGAUAAGACAUUGUAGUAAAGAAUUUGCACUCUAUUUCAUAAAAUUAUCUAGUUUCACAAAUACGAGAUAUGUGUAACGUUUAAACUAAAAUUCGAAAUCUAGCGCAUUAGAAACGAUUCGAUUGCUAAAAACCUGAGUGAAUUAACUUAUAAUAUUAGUACGGAUUACUCACUUAGAAAAGCAACAAAACGAUUAUAAGUGUAUACUAAAUAACCCAUCAAUUAGGAAGGAAGAUGGAAGUUGGACACGAGAUAAUAUGAAAAAAGGAAAUAGAUUCUCGGAACAUUUACUUUACGAUCGAACGAAACCAAAAUAUGCCAAUAACAAUAAAAAAUGCCCAAAUUCUUUAUAAUAACAAUGGAAACUAUUUGGGAAUGACCUUAGACUUUGCUGGAGAGUCCACAUUAAAAAGGAUAUGAAAAGAAAGAAGAAACUCCAUAUACAACAAAUUGCUUCUCUACAAACAGAGGGAGAGAGAGAGAGAGAGAGAGAAAUGCUCUUGUCAAAUAAUUGUCAAAAUUUUAGACAAACGCGUGUAAAAAUUAAAAAACAAAUAUAAAAAUAACUAAAUAGAUAAAGAGAUAAAACAAUAGAUAAAACAAAUAAAAAUGAAAUUUCAAUUUACAGAAGAAAACCACAAUGAGUAACACAAUUAUAAGUAAUAGUAAUAAGUAAUAAAUCAUAGUGCCUCCAUGAGAUAAAUUAAAUAUUGAAAUAUGUCAAAAUAUUUUAUUCCUCAACAAAUUCUCCUCUCAAUUGGAUACAAUAAUUACAGCGAACCUGCAACGUCUCUAAACCUUUUAAAAAUAAUGUUUGUUCUUGCUCUGCAAACCAGACCUCAACAGCUUUUAUUACCUCCUCGUUGGAAGAAAAUUUACGACCUUAUAAACUUUUUUUCAGUUGAGGAAAGAGAUGAUAGUCGGACAGAGCCAAAUCUGGUAAAUAAAGGGUAGUAAUUCAAACCCUAAAUUACGAAUUUUUUCAGUUGACGAGGUUUUUGCAUGGCAACAUGAGAUUUGUGUGCGUUGUCCCGCAAAAACAAAACACCUUUGGAUAGCUUUCCGCGUUUUUUCUCUUUAAUUUUUUCCCGUAGAGUGGUCAGUAAUGUCAAAUAGUCCAGUCAUUGUUCUACUCUUAUCUAAAAAAUCAUGAUUACUCCAUGACAAUCCCAAAAAACUGAGGCAAGAACUUUUUCAGCAAUUUUUUGGACACGAAACUUCUUAGGUCUUGGUGAACCAGACUGUCGCCAUUCCAUCGAUUGUGGCUUUGUUUUUGGAUCGUAUAAAUGUACCCAUUCUCAUCCCAAUUCGGUUUAAGAAGUCUACAUCGUUUUCAAAUCGUGCACAGAUCGAUCGCAAUGCUUCUAUCCUUGCACGCUUUUGGUCAACAUUCAAACAUUUGGGGAUCCAUUUUGCAGCAAUUUUUCUCAUGUUCAUAUUGACGUGAACGCGUUCGUAUGAAAUAUUCAGUGCUUCAGAUAUCCAUUUUAUCCCAAUUCGACGGUCUGAUAAUCAUGUCAUGAACUGCAUCGAUAUUUUCGGGGACUGACACAGAAACUGGCCUUCAUGAUCGGUCAUCAUCUUCAAUGGAAAAUUUACCUCUUUUGAAGCUUGCAAUCCAAUUUUUCACGGUCGCAUAUGAAGAACAUUGAUCCCUAAAAGUAUUAAGCAUAUCUUCGUAAAUCUGCUUACCUCUUAACCCUUUUAAAUACAGGUACUCGAUGGUGGCUUGAUACUCCAAUUUUCCGAUUUUCACAAUUUCGGUGGACAUCUUUUUUCUUUUAAUUUAUUGCGUAACUGUGGUGUACUUUUUUGACGUCAAACUUUCCACUGACAUUUAAAUAUAAUAAGUUAUUGUUCGUUGCUAUGGUAACGUAAUAUUUUGUUUAUGCAUGGAACUGGUCUAGGCUAACUAGAUAUCAAUACAUUCUCUUAGUUCUAUCGAAUGUGGCUACUGUGGUAUAGUUUUUGACAAGACCAAGCUCAUUAUAAUUAUUAAUUAUAGAUAUUAGUAUAUAUUAGAUAGUGCCCCUAUAUGUUCAGGCUAUUUUGUCUGUGUUCAGUUGUUGUGCAAUUUUGACAAUUGAUUUAAAAAAAAACAUAUAUAGAGUUGUCAGAAAACAGUCAGUGUUUUAUUUUUUUUUUAAGUUUAUUUAUAGUUUCUCCACUGCAAGGACUCACAUAACCAAUAGAACUAAGAAGAAUUAGUAAGGACAAGGUCAAAAGAGAAAAGUCUUGAAGGAAUUUAGAAAAAUGACGCCGAUGCCGAUACUAGAACUGGCUGUUUGGGAUCAAAAUAUUAUGCCGAAAAGAUAAGUGCUUAGAGGCAAUAGAUGGUAAUCCACCAGACUCAACAAUAAGUAGAAAAGAGAAGGAUGAAUGGGAGUGUAGAGAUGCAAAAGCUCAAUCUAUUAUUAUUCCGGGUAUAUCAGAUAAACAUUUAGAUAUUAUUAAAGAAUGCAUAAUGGCCAGGAACAAAUUGAGACACUUAAAAAUGGGUUUGUAAGGACAAGUUCUUUGACUAAGAUGGCAUGAUGGAGAAAAUUAUUAACUAUGAAAAAUGAGGAAUUUUAAAAAAUAGAAGACCUAUUUUUAAAAUUUAAUACAACUAUAAGAGAUCUCAAAGAUAUGGGAUCUAUAUUAGAUGAAGAAGAUAAAGUAUGUCUUUUAUUGUUUGCUUUACUGCCAAAAUACAAUAGUGUAGCCACUGUUUUGGAAACAAUAGAAAAUGUUAAGUUAGAUUUCGUUAAAGCUAGACUGUUAGAUGAAGAACUUAAAAAUAAUUCACAGUCGGACAUUAUAGAAUCUAGUUUUAAAGCUUCAAAUGGGUGCUAUAAAUGUGGAAGACAAGAACACUGGUUUUCACAAUCUCCUAAGCGAGACAGAGGUAGAUGUGGUUACAGAAGAAGUGGAAGAGGAAGAAUAAGAAAUAGAGGAAGAGAAAGAUCAUAUACUCAAAAUUCAGGGCAAGCUAACGUUAUAAGAGAAGAAGAGAAAGAAGUGCAACUGUAUGCAAUAAAUUUAUGGAAAAAUGACAAUGAUUUUGGAUUCUGGAGCAAGUAAUCACUUCUUGAAAGAGGAACUAGAAAAGUAUAUGGUAAAUAUAAGAAAGCUAGACACAUUCAUAUUGCAAACGGUGACAUUUCACAAGCAAAUAAAAUAGGAACUCUGAAAACAGAAACUCAAGGACAAAAGUUUUGUUUGGAAGGAUUGAUCGUUCAAAAUAUGAAACAUAAUUUGUUAUCACUUUCGAAAAUUACCUCAAUGGGUCAUACAAUUAUUGUAGAAAGAGAAAAGAUGAUUAUACAAGGUAAACAUUUGCAUUUAAAUUGUAAAAACAAGAAUGGUCUAUAUGUCUUGAUACUUGACAAAAUAAGACAUGAAGAUGAGAAAUGUAAUGUUAUAUUAGAUGAAGAUAUAUGGCACAGAAGACAGAAAAUAAAAUUUGCUCUACAUGUAUGGAAGGUAGAGGUACAAGAUGCCCAAUUACUAAUAGAGAAAGAAAAUCAACCAAAAUUGGCGAAUUGAUCCACAGCGACGUUUGUGGUCCAAUGAAACCUACCGCUUUUGAUGGAUUGCGACAUUUUCAAACCAUUAUCGAUGAUUAUUCGCAUUUUGUUGUAGUUAAAACUCUCAAAACAAAAAAUGAAGCUGAUAAAUAUUUAGUAGAUUACAUAGUAGAAUUGGAAAGGCAAAAAGAAGUAAAUGUUAAAGCGAUUAAAUUAGAUAACGGGGGUGAAUUUAUAACAAAUAUAUUUAAAGAAUCCUGCAAGAAGAAAGAGGUUAUUUUGAAGUAUACAAUGCCACAUACACCGCAGCAAAAUGGAACUGCCGAAAGAAUGAAUAGAACUCUAUUAGAGAAAAUUAGAACAAAAAUAAUAGAUUCCGGUAUGCCCAAAGAAUUGUGGUGCGAGGCUCAAGACUUCAAGUUAUGAAUUAAAUCGCCUGCCAUCUAAAGUAUUACCCAGAGGAAGGACACCAUCGAAAAUAUGGAAUAAAAGAAAUGAUUUGACAAAACUUAGAGUUUUUAGAAGUUGUUCAUGGUACAUACCAUUACCAAAAGGAUAUAAACUAGACGUUCGAUAAUGGAAUUUAAAGCGAUUAAUCAGAAUAAAGAAACAAAUAAGCAACAGGUGAUAUGUGAACCAAGAGAGAUUAUAGAGGAAACUUCAGAAGAAAAUUUACAAAGAGAUAAUGAUAUAGGCGAAAAUGAUGCUACAUCAAAUAAUGAUGCUACAUCAGAUAGUUCAGACAAUGAAGAUAAUACUCAAGAAAAUGUUGCAUUGCUAGAAUUGUCAUUAACCAGAUAAGGUAGAAAUGUAAAAAGGCCAGGAGAUUUAGAAGAUUAUGACAUAUAUAUCGCUUAUUGUUUCCUUAGUUCAUCAAGAAGCUAUUAAAGAACUAGAAUGGUGAGAAUCUAUUGAGAAAGAAUUUCAGUCCCACAAGAAAUUGGAAACAUGGAUAGAAGUAAAUGAACUAACUACCUGAGAAUGUCAAAGCUAUCGAUACAAAAUGGAUUAAUUAAAAUAAAAGAGGAUGGUACUAAGAAGUCUAGAUUAGCAGCACGGGGGUUUCAAGAACCUCAACAAGGUAUGGAAUUUGAUUAUGCUCCAGUGUGCAGAGUUUAAACAAUACGCUUGAUGCUCUCAGUGGCCGUUGAAAGAGAUUAUACUAUUAAACAAGUGGAUGUACCUACAGCAUUUUUAAAUGGAUUUUUAGAUAAAGUUAUAUAUAUUGAGAAAUCUCGAGGUCUAAAAAGUACGAGUCAAUAUUUUAAAUUAAAUAGAGCAUUGUACGGACUUCGAAGCUCACAAAAUGUUGGAACAUAAAGUUUAAUGAAAUUAUGACAAAGUUGCAGUUUAAAAUAUCUGAAUAUGUUUAUUGUUUGUAUUUUAAAGAUCAAUUAUACUUAGUGCUAUAUGUAGAUGAUGCUUUAAUUAUAGGAAAAGAAGAAUUCGUAGACACCUUAAUUGGAGAUCUUUAUAGCGAAUUUAAAGUGAAACAAAUGAGUUCCAUCAUUCUUAGGAAUGCAAUUGAAUUUAUAAAAAAAGGAUUAAAAGUACAAAAGACCAACAUGAUAAAACGACUUUUAAAAGAAUUUGAAAUGAAAGAGACAAGAUCGAUUUCGACACCAAUGGAAGUAAAUUUUAACGUACCUGAAGAUGAAAUAAUUAUAGAAAAUAAGUCAUAUAGAAGAUUAAUUUGCAGUCUUAUGUAGAUUUCAAUAACUACCAGACCAGAUAUAUCUCAAAGUGUAUCACUACUUAGUCGUUAUUUAGAUAAAUCUACCAACAGCACUUGGAAUGCAGUCAAGAGAAUUUUGCGUUAACUCAACUUUUCAUUAGAAUAUUGUUUAUUAUUUGGAAAAGAAUCCCAUAAAUUGCUUUCAAGGAAACAAAAUUGUGUGGCCAUUAGUUGAAUGGAAGCAGAAUAUAUUAGCGGCUCGGAGUUGUUAUUUUAGGAAUUUUUGGCAAUAGAAAUGUUUAGAUUGUUAAUACAUUUAAAUUGAGGGGGUGUAUUAAAUAUAGAUAUUAGUAUGUAUUAGAUAGUGCCCCUAUAUGUUCAAGCUAUUUUGUCUAUGUUCAGUUGUGCAUUUUUGACAAUUAAUUUAAAAAAAUAGAGUUGACGUCUUUGAGUUGUCAGAAAACAGCCAAAGUUUUAUUUUUUUAUUUAAGUUUAUUUGUAGUUUUUCCACUGCAAGGACUAACAUAACCAGUGUUCAUAGUAAUUGAAACCCAUCUGGACAUAUAACUCUGGGGCUACAGAAAAAGUUACAUUGAAGUAAUACAACGAUUUCAAAAUAGAGUAUCGAGAAACAACGGAUUUUACAUGCCAACGUUAUCCAGUUAUAUAAUUCCAAUUUAGUGAGAAGGCUCAAUAGAAUCAAGUAGUUUGAUGAUGGACUUAUUCAGAACGUGUAGUCACAGGUACUUGAAGAAUCCAUCUUGACCGAAAUAUGGAAUUUAAUCGCUAAUAUCGGCUGUUGUGCUAGAAAAUUUCGCUGUGCGUAAACUGAUAUUGCAAGAUCGUCAUGUGACCUACCGUGAGAUUGAUGCAUAAUUCGGUAUUAGUUCCACUUGCAUAUAUUCAAUAUUGCAUGAGCAUUUAGCUGUCAAAAAGAUUUGCUGGCGUUGGAUACCGCAUAAUUUGGCAAUCGCUUCAAAAAACAGCUCGUAGCGAUUGGUGUGAAGAAAUGCUGAAAAAAUUGAUGGUUCAUCCGCCUCACAGUCCUUAUUUGACACCCAAUGAUUUCUUCUUAUUCGCGCAGAGUAAAUAUAAAUUUUGAAGUCAACGUGUUUCUACACCUGAAGAUGCGGUUGAUGCGUACAAAUCACACGUUUUGGAGGUACCUCAAUCGGAAUGAACAAUUGGUUCAACGGCAUGCAAAAGCAUAUUGAUCUUAAUGGAGAAUAUUUUAUAAAACAAUAAAGCUAUAUCCAAUUGAAAA